GGAAUAUAAGAACCCGUUUCUUAACUUUUAACUAAAAAAACUAAGAACGUCUCUUCGAAAUCUUAUUUAAGAGCAGAUUCUUAGUUUUUUUAGUUAAAAGUUAAGAGACAUGUUCUUAUAAUAC
rfam:Brassica napus, WGS project CCCW01000000 data, contig: 14214